GCCCGGUGGUACCCGAACCUCGGGCGGGAGCGGGGGACCCACACGUUCCACGGUGCACGGCACCUCGGGGUGAAGCCGCCAUCGGCGGCCGGGCUCCUCGGCCCGAACCCGACAGCUCACCUCGUCGGCGUGGAGGAAUCCACAU
rnacentral:sRNA from 2 species